rfam:Macaca mulatta chromosome 3, whole genome shotgun sequence.
UUUUUAGUGUAAUUAUAUCCCAUGCAAUAUUUGGGACAUGCUUAUCCUAAAA